UACGAAGGGGGCUAGCGUUGCUCGGAAUCACUGGGCGUAAAGGGCGCGUAGGCGGACUUUUAAGUCGGGGGUGAAAGCCCAGGGCUCAACCCUGGAAUUGCCUUCGAUACUGAGAGUCUUGAGUUCGGAAGAGGUUGGUGGAACUGCGAGUGUAGAGGUGAAAUUCGUAGAUAUUCGCAAGAACACCAGUGGCGAAGGCGGCCAACUGGUCCGAUACUGACGACUGAGGCGGCGAAAAGCGUGGGGAGCAAACAGG
rnacentral:rRNA from 1 species